CCUCUCCCCCGGCCCCUUCCUAUCCCUAUCGCCAUUGCAGAGCGGCCGCAGCACGACACCGGAGGGACGACCAGGAGGAGAUGGCUACCUCUAUUGCGCGUGGAGUAUUUACCUUUCCCUGUCUCACGCGGCAGCGAUCUGGAGGCGAUGUGGGCGCUGCAAAGGUCCGGCGCAAGCUCGGCGGCGACAACGAACUUCUCCGGCGCCCCUCCACAAUUGGCGGUCCUCCCGGCGGCAAUGAGGAUUGAAAUUCAGCAAAGAAAUCUCAGAGCAGAAGAUGUACGCAAGGGACUUGGAUACGAGGCAAUCCUGUGCUGGCGAGAAAAUGGUAAAUAUGUUGUACUGACGGUUAGGCACACAAGAAUAUAUAGUCUCCAUAAGCUGGAUGAACAAAUAUACCUUGUUAAUUAGUUUUUGAUCCUUCAAACAUGGCCAGCGUCCUUACCAUUCGAGCUCCGUGACUCGGAGUUCGCCUUGAUGUAUUUAGGUACCAUGUUAGCAUAAUGAAACCUGUUGCUCGUAAUAUGAUUAAGGCAUGUGAUUAAACUGUUUUGCUGAAUUUAUUCAGAGGGGAAAUCAUCAAGGUUGCGAGCAGAUGUCUAAAUGAUCUGUUUCCAUUGCACACAUAUAUCCUCAAUUACCAAUGUAAAUGAGCGACCGUUUCAAAUUUAUAUUUCUAUUUUCUUUUGCAAUCUGCAAGGAACUUAAAGAUAGUUUUACAUUUUCUCACGUGCAUUCUAGUCCAUAAAUUGAUUGGGCAAUACAGAACGGAAGAAUAUGUACAAGUUCGCGGUACAAACUUCAGUUUCUCUUGAACCUUGUGAAUUAAGUGAAUGCUGAAUUUUUAAGUUAAGAAAUAGCUAGUUCUCUCCCCGCAAAACAAAAGGAACUAGCUAGCUCUCCUAUGAACGUAUAUUGGUUAAUUCUUAUUUUUUUAAAAUUCUAUUUGUUAAAUGUUGGCAGGCAGAGUAUAUAUACUUGAUGUUACCCUGAAUUUGAAUUUGGGUGUACAUGAUCUUACUAGCUUCUAAUUCUACUGAGCUAUACUGAUGAUGAUGUGUUUGCUCUCACACAUUUUUUCAAAGGAUCAUUAUGACAAAUGAUGGCCAAUUCUAGGUUGUUGGUAAUGCAUUUUCACAUCGUCCGAUGCUUGUGCUUAUCCCCAUUGGGUAAUUAAUAUUAUACAGGAGCAUUAAUCCGUGGAUUUCGUUUUGAUUUUGACAGGAACUUGCAUCCAAUCCUGCUAUUCCUAACUGGCAUGUUUAUAGGUUGCAGUGUUAGUGGUGGUCUCCUCCUGAUGGAGCUCUGUAUAUGCCCUUCUUGUUUGGCUAAAUAUCUCUUCUCUCCUAACAUUUUGGAUUGCACAAUAUAUUCAUUCAAGAAGACUGAGAUGAUUGCUCAGUGUUGCGAUUUCUAAUAUGGCAGGACAAUCACAAUUUCAUUCGUCUUCUGACAUUGCCAACUUUUUAGAGACCUUUGCAAUCGAUGAGGCAAAUUCGUAUUGUUUCAUGGAGUUUGUUUAUUAUCAUGUUGUUGGUAUUCUGUGUAAUGAAGCUUCCCAUAUUUUUACUGGCACAUAUAUCUAAAAAACCACAGUCCAUCUGUGUUCUAUAAACGUUGGUGUGGGUCUUAUGUGCACCAAGAAUUC